UACGGAGGUUGCAAGCGUUGUUCGGAAUGACUGGGCGUAAAGGGAGCGCAGGCGGCCAAGUCAGUCUGAAGUGAAAGCCCGGGGCUUAACCCCGGAAUAGCUUUGGAUACUGCCUGGCUUGAGUGUGCGCUGGGAAAGCGGAAUUCCAGGUGUAGCGGUGAAAUGCGUAGAUAUCUGGAGGAACACCGGUGGCGAAAGCGGCUUUCUGGCGCAUAACUGACGCUGAGGCUCGAAAGCGUGGGGAGCAAACAGGAUUAGAUACCCU
rnacentral:rRNA from 1 species